GCCGAGGUAGCUCAGUUGGUAGAGCAGUGGACUGAAAAUCCUCGUGUCGACAGUUCGAUUCUGUCCCUCGGCACCG
rnacentral:tRNA from 1 species